AGGGAAACUUCUGAUAAUACUGGAUAAGUUAGUAUAUCGCAUGAUAUGCAAAUGAAAGCUACGGCACUAAAGGAGAGCUUUGCGUCCUAUUAGCUAGUUGGUAAGGUAAGAGCUUACCAAGGCGAUGAUAGGUAGCCGGCCUGAGAGGGUGGACGGCCACAAGGGGACUGAGAUACGGCCCUUACUCCUACGGGAGGCAGCAGUGGGGAAUAUUGGACAAUGGAGGAAACUCUGAUCCAGCAAUUCUGUGUGUGUGAAGAAGGUUUUAGGACUGUAAAACACUUUUAGUAGGGAAGAAAAAAAUGACGGUACCUACAGAAGAAGCAACGGCUAAAUACGUGCCAGCAGCCGCGGUAAU
rnacentral:rRNA from 1 species